UAAUUGGGGAUGUUCGGUUGCU
rnacentral:miRNA from 2 species